CACGUAGGGUGCGAGCGUUGUCCGGAAUUAUUGGGCGUAAAGCGCGUGUAGGCGGCUUUGCAAGUCGGGUGUGAAAGCCCUCAGCUCAACUGAGGAAGUGCGCCCGAAACUGCAGAGCUUGAGUACCGGAGAGGAUGGCGGAAUUCCCCAAGUAGAGGUGAAAUUCGUAGAUAUGGGGAGGAACACCGGUGGCGAAGGCGGCCAUCUGGACGGAUACUGACGCUGAGACGCGAAAGCGUGGGGAGCAAACAGG
rnacentral:rRNA from 1 species